rnacentral:rRNA from 1 species
AAGAAUGAGCCUGCGAGUCAGCGGCAUGUCGCGAGGUUAACCCGUGUGGGGUAGCCGUAGGGAAACCGAAUCCUAAUGGGGUGUUUAGUGGCAUGUCCUGGACCCGAAGCGGGGUGAUCUACCCAUGGCCAGUGUGAAGCAGCAGUAAGAUGCUGUGGAGGCGCGAACCCACGUAGGUUGAAAACUGCGGGGAUGAGCUGUGGGUAGGGGUGAAAGGCCAAUCAAACUCCGUGAUAGCUGGUUCUCCCCGAAAUGCAUUUAGGUGCAGCGUCGCAUUAGCUUGGUGGAGGUAGAGCUACUGGUUGGUUGAGCGGGACUACAAUCUUAGCAAUGUCAGCCAAACUCCGAAUGCCAUUAAUGUGUUGUGCGGCAGUGAGACUGUGGGGGAUAAGCUUCAUAGUCGAGAGGGAAACAGCCCAGAUCGCCGGUUAAGGCCCCUAAGGGUGUGCUAAGUGGAAAAGGAUGUGGGAUCGCGAAGACAGCCAGGAGGUUGGCUUAGAAGCAGCCAUCCUUGAAAGAGUGCGUAAUAGCUCACUGGUCGAGUGGUUCUGCGCCGACAAUGUAGUGGGGCUCAAGCACACCGCCGAAGCCGCGGCAAUAAUAUUUUGUUAUUGGGUAGGGGAGCGUCGUGCACGUGUUGAAGCGUUACCGUGAGGAGGCGUGGAGUGUGUGCGAGUGAGAAUGCAGGCAUGAGUAACGAAUUGGAAGGUGAGAAUCCUUCCCGCCGGAUGACUAAGGGUUCCUGGGUCAAGUUCGUCUUCCCAGGGUGAGUCGGGACCUAAGGCGAGGCCGACAGGCGUAGUCGAUGGACAACCAGUUGAUAUUCUGGUACCCGAGUAUAUGCGCCCCUGAUAAAGCACUGAUACUAACCACCGUAAGCUGUUGUGAUUGACCCUUUGGGGUUAACAUGGUGGCAAGCCGUGGGGCCUGAUGUGUGGUUCAAGCGAUGGGGUGACACAGUGGGGUAGCCAUGCCGCUUAGUGGAUUGUGGGUGUAAGCGUGUAGGUGAUGGUGUAGGUAAAUCCGCACUUGUUAUGCUGAGACGUGAUGCGUAGCCUUAAUUGGUGAAGUUGGUGAUCCCGUGCUGUCGAGAAAAGCCUCUAGCGAUGUAUAUACUCGGCCCGUACCCCAAACCGACACAGGUAGUCAGGUUGAAAAUACUAAGGCGUUCGGGUGAACUGUGGUUAAGGAACUCGGCAAAAUGCCCCCGUAACUUCGGGAGAAGGGGGACCCUAUGGCGUGAACACCCAUUUGCGGUGGGAAGCGUUGUGGGGUCGCAGAGAAUAGAGGGAAGCGACUGUUUAUCAAAAACACAGGUCCAUGCGAAGACGUUAAGUUGAUGUAUAUGGACUGACGCCUGCCCGGUGCUGGAAGGUUAAGAGGACCGGUUAAUCAAGCUUUGCUUGGUGAAGCUGAGAAUUUAAGCCCCAGUAAACGGCGGUGGUAACUAUAACCAUCCUAAGGUAGCGAAAUUCCUUGUCGGGUAAGUUCCGACCUGCACGAAUGGCGUAACGACUUCCCUGCUGUCUCAACCACAGGCCCGGUGAAAUUGCACUACGAGUAAAGAUGCUCGUUACGCGCGGCAGGACGAAAAGACCCCGGGACCUUCACUAUAGCUUGGUAUUGGUGUUCGGUUCGGUUUGUGUAGGAUAGGUGGGAGACUAUGAGACGUGUGCGCCAGCACGCGUGGAGUCGUUGUUGAAAUACCACUCUGAUCGGAUUGGAUACCUUAACCUUGGCCCAUGAUCUGGGUUGGGGACAGUGCCUGGUGGGUAGUUUAACUGGGGCGGUUGCCUCCCAAAAUGUAACGGAGGCGCCCAAAGGUUCCCUCAGCCUGGUUGGCAAUCAGGUGGUGAGUGUAAGUGCACAAGGGAGCUUGACUGUGAGAGUGACAGCUCGAACAGGGACGAAAGUCGGGACUAGUGAUCCGGCACCUACUUGUGGAUGUGGUGUCGCUCAACGGAUAAAAGGUACCCCGGGGAUAACAGGCUGAUCUUCCCCAAGAGUCCAUAUCGACGGGAUGGUUUGGCACCUCGAUGUCGGCUCGUCGCAUCCUGGGGCUGGAGUAGGUCCCAAGGGUUGGGCUGUUCGCCCAUUAAAGCGGCACGCGAGCUGGGUUCAGAACGUCGUGAGACAGUUCGGUCUCUAUCCGCCGCGCGCGUUGAAACUUGAAGAAGGCUGUCCCUAGUACGAGAGGACCGGGACGGACGUACCUCUAG